rnacentral:rRNA from 1 species
UACGGAGGAUGCGAGCGUUAUCCGGAUUUAUUGGGUUUAAAGGGUGCGUAGGCGGACGCUUAAGUCAGCGGUAAAAUUGCGGGGCUCAACCUCGUCGAGCCGUUGAAACUGGGUGCCUUGAGUGGGCGAGAAGUACGCGGAAUGCGUGGUGUAGCGGUGAAAUGCAUAGAUAUCACGCGGAACUCCGAUUGCGAAGGCAGCGUACCGGCGCCCAACUGACGCUGAAGCACGAAGGCGUGGGUAUCGAACAGG